rnacentral:rRNA from 1 species
UAAACGCUGUGUACUAGAUGUUGCAUAUUCUUCGUGAAUGUGCAGUGUCGGAGCGAAGGUGUUAAGUACACCGCCUGGGAAGUACGGUCGCAAGGCUGAAACUUAAAGGAAUUGGCGGGGGAGCACUACAAGGGGUGCGGCGUGCGGUUUAAUCUAAUUCAACGCAGAAAAUCUCACCAGGAACGACGGCAGAAUGAAAGUCAGGCUGAAGACCUUACUUGACAAGCCGAGAGGUGGUGCAUGGCCGCCGUCAGCUCGUGCCGCAAGGUGUCCUCUUAAGUGAGGUAACGAGCGAGACCUGUGCCUACAAUUACCAUCAACUCUUUUUGGAGGAUUGGGUACAUUGUGGGAACUGCCUUGGAAACAAGGAGGAAGGUGCAGGCUACGGUAGGUCUGUAUGCCCCGAAUUCCCUGGGCUACACGCGCGCAACAAUGGUAGGGACAAUGGGAUACAACUCCGAAAGGAGAAGUUAAUCCUCUAAACCCUAUCUUAGUUCAGAUCGAGGGCUGUAACUCGCCCUCGUGACGAUGGAAUCCCUAGUAAUCGGACGUCAACAUCGUCCGGUGAAUAUGUCCCUGUUCCUUGCACACACCGCCCGUCAAACCAACCGAAUGGGGUUUAGAUGAGAUCUAGCUUUUAGCUAGCUCGAAUCUGAGUUUCGUGAGGCGGGUUAAGUCGUCACAAGGUAGCCGUAGGGGAACCUGCGGCUG